GGUUAAGCGACUAAGCGUACACGGUGGAUGCCCUGGCAGUCAGAGGCGAUGAAGGACGUGCUAAUCUGCGAAAAGCGUCGGUAAGGUGAUAUGAACCGUUAUAACCGGCGAUGUCCGAAUGGGGAAACCCAGUGUGAUUCGUCACACUAUCGUUAACUGAAUACAUAGGUUAACGAGGCGAACCGGGGGAACUGAAACAUCUAAGUACCCCGAGGAAAAGAAAUCAACCGAGAUUCCCCCAGUAGCGGCGAGCGAACGGGGAGCAGCCCAGAGUCUGAAUCAGCUUGUGUGUUAGUGGAACGGUCUGGAAAGUCCGACGGUACAGGGUGAUAGUCCCGUACACCAAAAUGCACAGGCUGUGAACUCGAAGAGUAGGGCGGGACACGUGGUAUCCUGUCUGAAUAUGGGGGGACCAUCCUCCAAGGCUAAAUACUCCUGACUGACCGAUAGUGAACCAGUACCGUGAGGGAAAGGCGAAAAGAACCCCGGCGAGGGGAGUGAAAAAGAACCUGAAACCGUGUACGUACAAGCAGUGGGAGCACCUUCGGGUGUGACUGCGUACCUUUUGUAUAAUGGGUCAGCGACUUAUAUUCUGUAGCAAGGUUAACCGUAUAGGGGAGCCGCAGGGAAACCGAGUCUUAACUGGGCGUUAAGUUGCAGGGUAUAGACCCGAAACCCGGUGAUCUAGCCAUGGGCAGGUUGAAGGUUGGGUAACACUAACUGGAGGACCGAACCGACUAAUGUUGAAAAAUUAGCGGAUGACUUGUGGCUGGGGGUGAAAGGCCAAUCAAACCGGGAGAUAGCUGGUUCUCCCCGAAAGCUAUUUAGGUAGCGCCUCGUGAACUCAUCUUCGGGGGUAGAGCACUGUUUCGGCUAGGGGGUCAUCCCGACUUACCAACCCGAUGCAAACUACGAAUACCGAAGAAUGUUAUCACGGGAGACACACGGCGGGUGCUAACGUCCGUCGUGAAGAGGGAAACAACCCAGACCGCCAGCUAAGGUCCCAAAGUCAUGGUUAAGUGGGAAACGAUGUGGGAAGGCACAGACAGCCAGGAUGUUGGCUUAGAAGCAGCCAUCAUUUAAAGAAAGCGUAAUAGCUCACUGGUCGAGUCGGCCUGCGCGGAAGAUGUAACGGGGCUAAACCAUGCACCGAAGCUGCGGCAGCGACACUAUGUGUUGUUGGGUAGGGGAGCGUUCUGUAAGCCUGCGAAGGUGACCUGUGAGGGUUGCUGGAGGUAUCAGAAGUGCGAAUGCUGACAUAAGUAACGAUAAAGCGGGUGAAAAGCCCGCUCGCCGGAAGACCAAGGGUUCCUGUCCAACGUUAAUCGGGGCAGGGUGAGUCGACCCCUAAGGCGAGGCCGAAAGGCGUAGUCGAUGGGAAACAGGUUAAUAUUCCUGUACUUGGUGUUACUGCGAAGGGGGGACGGAGAAGGCUAUGUUAGCCGGGCGACGGUUGUCCCGGUUUAAGCAUGUAGGCUGGUUGUCCAGGCAAAUCCGGAUAAUCAAGGCUGAGGUGUGAUGACGAGGCACUACGGUGCUGAAGUAACAAAUGCCCUGCUUCCAGGAAAAGCCUCUAAGCAUCAGGUAACAUCAAAUCGUACCCCAAACCGACACAGGUGGUCAGGUAGAGAAUACCAAGGCGCUUGAGAGAACUCGGGUGAAGGAACUAGGCAAAAUGGUGCCGUAACUUCGGGAGAAGGCACGCUGGUGUGUAGGUGAAGCCCCUGCGGGUGGAGCUGAGACCAGUCGAAGAUACCAGCUGGCUGCAACUGUUUAUUAAAAACACAGCACUGUGCAAACACGAAAGUGGACGUAUACGGUGUGACGCCUGCCCGGUGCCGGAAGGUUAAUUGAUGGGGUUAUCCGUAAGGAGAAGCUCUUGAUCGAAGCCCCGGUAAACGGCGGCCGUAACUAUAACGGUCCUAAGGUAGCGAAAUUCCUUGUCGGGUAAGUUCCGACCUGCACGAAUGGCGUAAUGAUGGCCAGGCUGUCUCCACCCGAGACUCAGUGAAAUUGAACUCGCUGUGAAGAUGCAGUGUACCCGCGGCAAGACGGAAAGACCCCGUGAACCUUUACUAUAGCUUGACACUGAACAUUGAGCCUUGAUGUGUAGGAUAGGUGGGAGGCUUUGAAGCGUGGACGCCAGUCUGCGUGGAGCCAACCUUGAAAUACCACCCUUUAAUGUUUGAUGUUCUAACGUUGGCCCCUGACCGGGGUUGCGGACAGUGUCUGGUGGGUAGUUUGACUGGGGCGGUCUCCUCCCAAAGCGUAACGGAGGAGCACGAAGGUUAGCUAAUCCUGGUCGGACAUCAGGAGGUUAGUGCAAUGGCAUAAGCUAGCUUGACUGCGAGCGUGACGGCGCGAGCAGGUGCGAAAGCAGGUCAUAGUGAUCCGGUGGUUCUGAAUGGAAGGGCCAUCGCUCAACGGAUAAAAGGUACUCCGGGGAUAACAGGCUGAUACCGCCCAAGAGUUCAUAUCGACGGCGGUGUUUGGCACCUCGAUGUCGGCUCAUCACAUCCUGGGGCUGAAGUAGGUCCCAAGGGUAUGGCUGUUCGCCAUUUAAAGUGGUACGCGAGCUGGGUUUAGAACGUCGUGAGACAGUUCGGUCCCUAUCUGCCGUGGGCGCUGGAGAAUUGAGGGGGGCUGCUCCUAGUACGAGAGGACCGGAGUGGACGCAUCACUGGUGUUCGGGUUGUCAUGCCAAUGGCACUGCCCGGUAGCUAAAUGCGGAAGAGAUAAGUGCUGAAAGCAUCUAAGCACGAAACUUGCCCCGAGAUGAGUUCUCCCUGAGACUUUAAGUCUCCUGAAGGAACGUUGAAGACGAUGACGUUGAUAGGCCGGGUGUGUAAGCGCAGCGAUGCGUUGAGCUAACCGGUACUAAUGAACCGUGAGGCUUAACCUU
rnacentral:rRNA from 1 species